rnacentral:ncRNA from 1 species
CUGUUGCACAUAUGUCAAAUUCCCGGCCAGCUCAAUUAAUAUACUGGUCGGAGCCGUAAUUGUGCAGAUAUCAAUAUAU